rnacentral:rRNA from 1 species
CCUACGGGAGGCAGCAGUGGGGAAUUUUGGACAAUGGGGGCAACCCUGAUCCAGCCAUUCCGCGUGAGUGAAGAAGGCCUUCGGGUUGUAAAGCUCUUUCGCAAGGGAAGAAACGUUACGAGCGAAUAACUCGCGAUAAUGACGGUACCUUGAUAAGAAGCACCGGCUAACUACGUGCCAGCAGCCGCGGUAAUACGUAGGGUGCAAGCGUUAAUCGGAAUUACUGGGCGUAAAGCGUGCGCAGGCGGUUUUGUAAGUCAGAUGUGAAAUCCCCGAGCUCAACUUGGGAACUGCGUUUGAAACUACAAGGCUAGAAUAUGUCAGAGGGGGGUAGAAUUCCACGUGUAGCAGUGAAAUGCGUAGAGAUGUGGAGGAAUACCAAUGGCGAAGGCAGCCCCCUGGGAUAAUAUUGACGCUCAUGCACGAAAGCGUGGGGAGCAAACAGGAUUAGAUACCCUGGUAGUCCACGCCCUAAACGAUGUCUACUAGUUGUUGGUGGAGUAAAAUCCAUGAGUAACGCAGCUAACGCGUGAAGUAGACCGCCUGGGGAUACGGGUCGCAAGAUUAAAACGUCAAAGGAAUUGACGGCUGGAGAGNGCGAGGACGACGACGAGGGAGGAGG